rnacentral:rRNA from 1 species
UACAGAGGUCUCAAGUGUUGUUCGGAUUCAUUGGGCGUAAAGGGUGUGUAGGUGGCGCCGUAAGUCGGGGUGUGAAAUCUCGGGGCUUAACUCCGAAACUGCAUUCGAUACUGCGGGUCUCGAGUCCGGGAGAGGUGAGUGGAAUUCCUAGUGUAGAGGUGAAAUUCGUAGAUAUUAGGAAGAACACCAGUGGCGAAGGCGGCUCACUGGCCCGGUACUGACGCUGAGGCGCGAAAGCGUGGGGAGCAAACAGGG